GAUGAAGAACGCAGCGAAAUGCGAUACGUAAUGUGAAUUGCAGAAUUCAGUGAAUCAUCGAAUCUUUGAACGCAUAUUGCGCUCUCUGGUAUUCCGGAGAGCAUGCUUGUUUGAGUAUCAGUAAACACCUCAACUUCCAUAUCUUUUUUGAAAUGGGAGUUGGACUUGAGUGAUCCCAACGCUUUUCCUCACCGAAAAGUGGCGGGUUACUUGAAAUGCAGGUGCAGCUGGACUUUUCUCUGAGCUAUAAGCAUAUCUAUUUAGUCUGCCUAAAAAACAGAUUAUUACCUUUGCUGCAGCUAACAUAAAGGAGAUUGUUCUUGUGCUGACUGAUGCAGGAUUCACAAAGACGGCUUCGGCCGACUUUGUAAACUCGAUCUCAAAUCAAGUAAGACUACCCGCUGAACUUAAGCAUAUCAAUAAGCGGAGGA
rnacentral:misc_RNA from 1 species